rnacentral:rRNA from 1 species
CUUUACAAUGCACGCAAGUGUGAUAAGGGGAUCUUGAGUGUCUUCGAUUUUCGGAGACUUUUGCCAUGUGUAAAAAGCAUAGCGAAUAAGGACUGGGCAAGACUGGUGCCAGCAGCCGCGGUAAUACCAGCGGUCCAAGUGGGACUCGAUUUUAUUGGGUCUAAAACAUCCGUAGCCGGUUUUGAAAGUUUUUUGUUAAAUUGUUAUGCUUAACGUAACAGCUGCAAAAAAUACUGCAAGGCUAGAGACUGGGAGACGUAGUGAGUACAUUAAGGGUAGUAGUAAAAUGCGUUAAUCCUUUUUGGACUAACAAUGGCGAAGGCACACUACGAGAACAGAUCUGACGGUCAGGGAUGAAAGCGAGGGGCGCAAAACGGAUUAGAUACCCGUGUAGUCCUCGCUGUAAACGCUGCCUAUUAAACAUUGUGAUCUCCUCGAGAGAUGGCUGUGCUGAAGCGAAGGCGGAAAUAGGCUACCUGGGAAGUAUAGUCGCAAGAUCGAAACUUAA